GGGUUUUGUUUUUACGUUU
rnacentral:miRNA from 1 species